UUACCAGGUCUUGACAUCCCGAUGCUAUUCUAGAGAUAGAAAGUUACUUCGGUACAUCGGUGACAGGUGGUGCAUGGUUGUCGUCAGCUCGUGUCGUGAGAUGUUGGGUUAAGUCCCGCAACGAGCGCAACCCCUAUUGUUAGUUGCCAUCAUUCAGUUGGGCACUCUAGCGAGACUGCCGGUAAUAAACCGGAGGAAGGUGGGGAUGACGUCAAAUCAUCAUGCCCCUUGUGACCUGGGCUACACACGUGCUACAAUGGUUGGUACAACGAGUUGCGAGUCGGUGACGGCGAGCUAAUCUCUUAAAGCCAAUCUCAGUUCGGAUUGUAGGCUGCAACUCGCCUACAUGAAGUCGGAAUCGCUAGUAAUCGCGGAUCAGCACGCCGCGGUGAAUACGUUCCCGGGCCUU
rnacentral:rRNA from 1 species